AGUCGUACGCACUGGCCCACUGAUUGAUGGUGCUUGCACCUGAUUGACGAUGGAUCACCAGUGAGUGGCGGACGGGUGAGUAACACGUAGGUAACCUGCCCCGGAGCGGGGGAUAACAUUUGGAAACAGAUGCUAAUACCGCAUAACAAUAAAAGCCGCAUGGCUUUUAUUUGAAAGAUGGCUUUGGCUAUCACUCUGGGAUGGACCUGCGGUGCAUUAGCUAGUUAGUAAGGUAACGGCUUACCAAGGCGAUGAUGCAUAGCCGAGUUGAGAGACUGAUCGGCCACAAUGGAACUGAGACACGGUCCAUACUCCUACGGGAGGCAGCAGUAGGGAAUCUUCCACAAUGGGCGCAAGCCUGAUGGAGCAACACCGCGUGAGUGAAGAAGGGUUUCGGCUCGUAAAGCUCUGUUGUUGGAGAAGAACGUGCGUGAGAGUAACUGUUCAUGCAGUGACGGUAUCCAAUCAGAAAGUCACGGCUAACUACGUGCCAGCAGCCGCGGUAAUACGUAGGUGGCAAGCGUUAUCCGGAUUUAUUGGGCGUAAAGCGAGCGCAGGCGGUUGCUUAGGUCUGAUGUGAAAGCCUUCGGCUUAACCGAAGAAGUGCAUCGGAAACCGGGCGACUUGAGUGCAGAAAAGGACAGUGGAACUCCAUGUGUAGCGGUGGAAUGCGUAGAUAUAUGGAAGAACACCAGUGGCGAAGGCGGCUGUCUGGUCUGCAACUGACGCU
rnacentral:rRNA from 1 species